rnacentral:lncRNA from 1 species
AGUGGCAGUCAAGAGUAUAAGAAAGAAGGAUUAAAGGGUAUCUUGGAAAGAUGAAGGAGGGGAUGCUGAGACUGAGGAAAUUUGUCAGCACAUUAACAAAAUAGUUAAAUUCUGAGCAGGAUUUUGGACGGUUAUUGGGUCGGAAUUUUGGAUGUUAAUGGAUGGAAGUGUUCGAGUUUGGCGGAUAAUGUGACAGGAAAUGUUUUGGUAGUGGUGUUGUUGAUGGGUGGCUUGUUAUUGGCGCUUUUGCUAUGGUGUUUGCCGCCACCACCACUAGAGUUUGGUGCUUCAUCCAACUUCCAAUAAUAAGGUUGGAAAUGCGUAGAAGAAAAAAGUUCAACUUGAUACACCCACUAAUACACAGUAAUGUCACAGUUAGAUACACGAUGAAAUUAUCAAUUUUUCAUCAUAAUAAAAAUUUGUUCGUGUUUCAGAACAGGAAUCAGAGUCAUAAACCGAGCUAUGAGUAUGAUUUUAGUUAUUUUUUUGGGACCUCGUGAAGUUUCUUUUAAAUAAUACUGAUCUUCUACGAGGUUUCGAAUAUAUUAUAAAUUUUUCGAAAUUCAUAAAAUUUUGUAACAUGUCUAACUCAUAGAAAAGUGAGGCUAAAAAAUUAAUUUUAAUCAUAAAUUUUUGUAGCACGCUAGGCUAACUCGGAAGAAAAGUGAGGCUAAUAAAUUAAUGUUGCGAGUGAGAAGAGAUUUUAAUCCUAUAAAUACCCUUUUAACUUCUAGCAUCAUUAAAUACUUUACAACUCUUAUAUAUGACUUAAUUGUAGCCUACAAUUUGUAGGUUAUAGCAAUUGAUUCCAUGUAUUCAAGAUAUACACAUAUUGUCCUUUGAUGACUAAUAGUCAUACACAUCAGUUAACUUUUAUUCCAUGAAGGCUAUAAGAAAAUAAUUAUAGCCUCAGGAAUGUAAUGAUUUAGUUAUCUAUGUGGUCAUACAUUUUGUUUUCAUGAAAAGUAUGUAAUUGUCAUAAGUUAAUAUAAUAAAUUAAAAAGUACGUGUCUUUAAAAACUAUAAAAUUUCUACCUUAUUACCCGGUCCAAUUUGCUAACAUGGAUUAGUAAUGUUUUUUUUUUCUAAUUCUUAUAUUUUUAUUAAUUAUGUCCCAACAAUUAGUGCAUUAAUUGUCAAUAUGCUAGCUAUACAAGGUUGGUUGCAUUGAAAAACGAAGAAGGAAAAGGAUAAAUAUGAAACAAAGAAGAAGAAAAGAAAGAGAAAUAAAAAAAUUCAAAAUUAAAGAAAAACUUAUAAUGUACAGGGCAUAUUUGGCCGUGUAUUAGUGCAAUGGUUAGUCAUCUGGGGCAACUUUGCACACAUAUUUGUGAACAUAGUGGUGGAAAAGUUUGAUCAAUUCCUAAUCAUAGUGGGGCAAUCUACAAUUAAGCUCAAAUCUUUAGAAUUUGAGAUUGGGUAUCAGAUUUAUUUUUGCAUUAGCGAUGUUAGUAGUAGGGCCGAAUUUGCUUGACAAGGGAACUAUAUGAUACUAGGCUUGGUGCCCCGCGGGGUUCCGCGGGUGCCCAUUAUUAACUGUCUUAAGCUAAUGUAAGAUUUAUUUUAUAACAUAAAUUUAGAGUAUUUUAUAUGAUAAUGGAGUUGGAAUAGUGGAUAGAGAAGUGAUAUAUUGGAUUGAUUGAUUUAUAAAUAGAUAUAGUAAAAUUGAUAUGAUUUGUAUUGUGUUUUUUAAAAUUAAUAUGAUAAUAUUGAUUUCAAAAAAAAAUUUAAUUUUAAUUUAGUGAUAAGUAAAUAUUAUUUAAAUUAAUGGAAUAUAUAUUAAAUUUUUAAAGUUCAUAGGAUGAAAAAUUAGGUGGAGAAUUACAUUGAGAGUAUUAUAAUUUAUUGUACUUUGGGCAUAGGUAGUUUAUGUAUUUUAGGAUGAUGAUAUUUUCAUAAUUUGGAUAGCUAGGAUGAAAAAGUGUGCAUUGUUGCAAUGGAAAAGUCUAUGGAAAGGAUAUAAAAGAAUAGAAAGUUUGUUAAAAAAUAAAUGGAUAAUAGAUAUUUUUUGGCCAAAUUUGAUAUAGUUUGGGUGUUGUGUGAUGAGAUAAAUUAAUAAUUUGGAAUAAUUUGAUACUAUAUCUUGGUAAAAUAUGUGUUUAGUCAUUAAGUAGGUUUUUUUGAUAAGUAAAAAUGAUAUUGAUUUAGUUAUGAAUGAAUGUGAUUGAAAUAUAUGGAAGCUGUAUCUUUUUAAUUAAUAGAAUCUGAAUAGGUGAAGGAUAAUAUUAAUUUUGAGAGCUAAGAGAUUUUAUAUUAAUAGUUUAGUAAUAAAUGCAUAUUAUUGAAAGUAAGGCAAUGUGUAUAAAUUUUUUUUAUAAGAAAUAGAAAUGAUUGCACAUGAAAAUUAUAGAGUCUAAUUAUUGUAAUUUAUAGUAGAAUUUUUAAAUAUUUAUUGUUUGAUGUUUAUGCGACUUAUUUUAUGGUACUCAAAGUUGUAGUGAAUUUUGUAUUAAUAUAUAUAUAUAUAUAUAUAGGUAUACGAUAUAUUUUGUAAUAUGUGUGCAUAUAUAUAUAUAUAUAUAUAUAUAUAUGCGCGUGUGUGUUUAGUAUUUUAUUUAGGAGAUAUGAUGGUUUAAUUUUUUAUCGUUUAUAUUUUUUGUGGUUUUGUUUGUUUGUUAUAUUUUUAUUAUUUAUUUAUUUAUAUAUGUGUAUAUAUAUAUAUGUGUGUGUGUAUGUGCAGGUGUGUAUAUUUAAUAUUUUAUUUGAGUUUGUAUGAUUGUUUAAUAUUGUUUUAACGUGCCUAUCUUUUCUAGUUUUGUUUGUUUGUUAUAUUUGUGGUGUUCCUAUUUGUCUUGUGAUUCAUGUGUCAAUAUGAUAAUUUUUUUUUGAGUUGCAUCAUGUAUAUUUUUGCUAUAUAUAUAGGGGUGCGGUUUUUAGUAUUUGUGUAUAAAUUUCUGGUAGUUUGGUUAUCUUUGUUAUAGUUUUAGAGAAAAGUUUGUCUUUUUUAUUUUGGUUUUUAGUGGUAUAUUUUUUAAUUUUGAAAUAUUAUCGAAGUAACAUUUGUGAAAUAGAGGGAAAUUAUCCCGUAUUUUUUAAAACAAUUAGUCGUAUUAAUGCAAGCAAAUACAAAGCGGCACAAUUGAUUUAUAUUUAUUAGAUGCACACAAAAUUUAAUAUUUGCAUUAAUUUUUUUGAAAAUUAAUAAGAUUCCAAAAUCUAAAGAUAACACAAUUUCGAAGAGUCCGUUAUUUUAUUGAUAUCGAAAAUUAAUAAUGCUUGAUUGAAUAGCAUACAUGAAUAAAUAUCUAUUUAAUGAUGAAGUAAUUUAUUUAUUGAUUAAUCAAUAUCUUACUUUAAAUCAACGAAUAGCACAUGGACUUAUGCGUAAGGGAAAUUUAAAUUACAAUUAGCUGACUCGAAUAACACUCAUUAUCUGUUAAUAUGAAGUAGCAUAGCAUAACACAUAGAAUUUGUAUUGUUCUGUAUAUAUUAGAUGCACACAGAAUUUGCGUAACACAUAGAAUUUGUAUUGUUCUGUAUAUAUUAAAUGCACACAGAAUUUUUAUCGAUUCACAUAUUUUUUAGAAAAUCAAUAUCUUUGUUAAUAUAUAUAUAUAUUUUGGGGAAAGUUAAUAAAUAUAAAAGAGCAGAGGGAAUUAUAUUUUGAAGAUUGACACGUUAAUACAAAGUUAGGAAAUUGAGAUUUUUGUGAGAUUUAUAUUUUGAAAGGAAGUUAUAUGUUGAAGGAAGUUAAUAAAUGAAAUCGAUAAAUUAAUAUUUUUGUUAAUAAAGUCAGAUAACAAUUGCAGCAGUGGAAGAUGAGCAAGAAAAAAAGGACAAAAUCGAUUGCAAAAUUAAGUUAGAUAACAAUUGCGGCAGUGGAAGGUGCAGAAGAAACAAAAGGACAAAAUUGGCCACAAAAUUACAAAGAAACCAGGGCAAGGGCACAAUCGGAAGAAGGGAACAAAAGCAGAAAUGAGGAAAAGCGCACCAGGAACCAAAGCCGUUGCAUGGAGCCUGCCAAAAGACCAAAAAGGACGAAAUGAGCCGCAAAAUCACAGCGAAACCGGCACAAUCAACUGUAGAUGAAGCUUCCGCGCUUUAUGUAGUUUAGGAUUUCUAUACUUCUAAAGGAUUACGGGAGAACAGUGAUCCUGUUAAAAACUUUAGGGAGAAUUUCUAGAAUUAUCCUUUUUAGUGGGGGGGGGGGGGGAGGGUGGGUGGGGGCGCAGUUGUUCUUUCUCAGUAGAUAGUCACUUUAAUUGGCACGAGUUUGUUGAGUAGUAUAUGACACUUAAAACAAUCUUUACCUUUUGUCUUAUGUGGAACAGAAAAUUGGAUUGAUUUCUGAUAGGCUUUUUACUCAAACGUCUCUUGUCCCAUCCACUUUGUCUAGCUAAACCUUUGUUAAUUGUUUUAAACAGUCAAUCAAUGACAAUUCGUUUAGUUCAUUUUGCAGGAAAUGAUUUAGAUAAAGCGUGUGAGACCAAAUAAUUAUGCACCACUUUUCAAUAAACAAAAAACCAACGAUGUGAACCCGUUAUUCAUUUCUUUUUACCAAAUUCUCGUUUCAUUUCUAAUAACUAACCAAUAGAAACUGGAAUUAAAGUUGUACUUAAGUUUCAAAUUCUUCUUUUCUUUUUUUAAGUGUAAGGGGAAAAUCUCGAACCCGUACCACCUAACCUAUCUCUCCCCCAAGUUCUCCCGACUUUUGUUUUGGUGUCAUAUAAGUUUUCUACGACAUUAGUGUGACGCCCCCACUUCUCCCCAGAGCAAAUUCAAUGGUAUCUGCGGAAUGCCUGUCUAAUUCUCGUCAGGACUCGAUACGAAACAAAUUUAAACUUAACAAUACACCACCAAUAAUAAAAACCAAAAUAAAGAAAAGUCACUUCCUUAUAUGAAUAUUCAAAUCUUACAUCACAAGUAACCAAAUGUACAUCAACUUUUCCUAAAAUACAACUAUUAGAAGUCGACUAAUCAAUUACAUCCCAAGGUUUUAAUCAAAAUUAAUCAAGUCGGCUUUUCCCAAAAUUCUUUCCAUUUCGAACUCCUGUUAAGGAAAACAAACUAAUGGGGUGAGCGAACGCUCAGUGAAGCCAAGAAACACACAUGCAAAUACAUACUUCAAGUAGCAAUAAUAUUUAUACAGUAAAUAAAACUGUAAAGUUCGAGUAAUUAACAUUUCGAGUAGGAAAAGUAAGCAGAAACAAUUCAAGGAUACUGUAGCUCUCAGGAGCUAAAUUCCAUGCAGCAGGAUCAAAGUCUUGAUCAAAUUCUAUGUGGACACUCCGUCAACCAAGUAAGUAUCUAAUCCGUAGAAUCUCCACUUUUCCUAGAUUCCCGUCACCGUUACACCCCCUUACCGGACCCGCUCACCAUGGUUUUGAUAUUAUUCGAGUAUAUCGUGGCAAUACUAUACGAGUAUGCCAGACAAGAUCUCUCCAAUAGAUCAAGUUUCGGGUCUGCUCAUGGUUUACUAAGCUUCUCGACCAAAUCCAUGCUAGUUCAAUUCGCAAAAUUAGCCGAUGAGUUUGGGCAUCCCCUAGGAGUAGGAUUGGUCGACGAGACAUCGCUCCAAUCGACACCGAGUCACAUAUGAGUAUAGUUUCAAGUAUGAGCAAGUCAAGUAGCUAGCCGAGUAAAUCGAGUAACGAGUCAAGUAAGGAGAGCGAGUGCGAUAAAGUAAACACUCGUCUCGACAAGUUAAAUUCACGUAUUCAACUAGAUGCAUUUCAAGUAUUAGGCAACAAGUCAUGCACUUGACACUCAUUAAAAUCAAGAGUGUAAAGCAAGAGUAAGACAAGAUCAAACGAGCUCCUCGGAAUCCACUUGAUCACUUGAGACAUGCACAAUUACAAAUUACCUAGGUAUUCAGCCAAGAUCUAGUAAUAUUCCCGCUACCCUUACACAAGAGAUAAUACGUUCAAAUCGAAUGCAAAUAUUACUUACUACUUAAUCCACGAGGGUAGCAUUUGAAAAUAUCCAAGAAUGCAUUAAUUCAAAUCAGGUCAAGUAAAUGAAGCUUUUUUAGCUAAAACAUUGGAAUAAUGUUCAAAGAGAACUCAAAAGUUAUUUUUUGAUUCAAGUCGUGGUAAGUAGAUUUCAAUUCCAAAAGAAAGUACAAUAUUCACUUUUGGCACGAAAAUCGAGAAAAGAGUAAAUGGUCCUCGUUUCCCAAAACUUUAAAUCUCAUGUCCAAACUUUGGAAGAUAAAGAGUAUUCACAUUUUCCAAACUAAUGGAGUCAAACAUAUUCAAAACACCCCUCAUUUCAUAGAAAAAAUAUCAAAGCUAAGGUUCCAAAGUUCAAAUAUAAAAUAAGGUGUCAUUAACCAAGAAAGUGGAACAAUCAAGAAAAUGCAUUAAGAGAGGUUUAACCUUCGGAAACCAAGAUUUGAAAUGAAGGUUUAAAAUUCUAACGGAACUAUGUAUUCCACCAUGAAAUUACACCUAAAACUGUCGAACAAUUGCAAAGGAGGAUGGAAAGUUCUUAAAAGUUCAUUUCCUAAGAAAUCAAGAAUUUUAGCUUUGCGCGAUAAAUUUUGUAAAAUCAAAUCUUGAGUUUUGUAUGCCCAAAAAUAGAAAAAUUUACACCGUUGGAAACUAGAUCCAAAGUACUAAAAGUUUCCAGAAGAUACUUUUCCAAGGUUCCAAAUAGAAGGCAUUCAUUUUUCAGCUUAAAGUUGCUGAUUCAAGAAAGCAAGACAGAACCAGUCUUGGUUUUCGGCGACAUUUGGAAAUUUGGAAAAAUUCACAAAAAGUAAAUCAGUCUUUGAAAUUCAUGACACAAUAAUAUUUCCAAACAAGGUUUCAAACACAACCAAUGAAACUAAAUUCGGAGCUUUGAGCUACAAGAUAUAACAGCUUAAAGUCGGUUGAUUUGUACUACUUGAACAGUGAAUUUCCAGAUUUUGAAGAGCAAUCUUUGGGGCAUAAUUUGGAUAUCGAAAUGGUAUUGAAAUCACACCAAAUUUUGUACUCUUAAACUCCCAUAUAGUGACUACUUCUCUAUAAAAAUUCAGGUAAAAACUCGUAUGGAAAGGCAGUUAAUGAAACGACCAAAGUUUGGAAAAAUUUCAAAGCUAAUCUGCCAACCGUGGUUCUCUUCCUUUCUCAAACGUUUUGUCCAACACAAUCAGCCCCAAUUCGCUCAAAUUUUGAAACCAAAGUUCCAGAAAUGUUUAAUAAGCAUUUGAUGGUUAAAUGACACUAAAAUUUUUGAAAUAAAACCUCCCAAAACAGGUUUGACCAUUCGGUCAGCAUGAAAGGAAAAAGUUCCAGUUUCCCAGCUUUGUCGUGUUUUCGAAAUCAAGACACAUCUAAUUCUAUACAAAGUAAAAUUGAGAAUGGUUGAUGGCAUUGGAAACUAGAUUCAAAAUACUACAAUUUAUUAGAAGACAUCAUUUUGAAAAUCUUUUCACAAAUGGGAUAAAAUCAAGUCACAAAAUGCAGCUUCUAGUUUCAUUCAUAUGAACAGUCCAAACAGAACAGCCAAUUUUGUGGACUCACUGCGGUUCACUCAAAACGAACCAGCAGGAGAUUUUUAUACCAUUGAAAAGACGAAUGUCUAGUUUUGAAUGCCGCUAACGGCACUCAAUUUUGACUUUUGUACAAAAAGUUAUGUUCGAACAAAGAACACUAUCCGAGAACCCCGGCUAUGCGUUUUUCUAGAUUUGAGUCUUGCCAAAGCUCAAGUUUUAUACAACUAAAUGAAACGAUUUUUGAAAGGCACUUUGUACACACAAUAUACAACAUAUAUACAUUAAUUUCACAGCCAUCCAAGCAUCAAAAUUUUGAAAUAAAGACAAAACAACAUGACCAGAAAUUUCGGCCAGCUUGCAUUCUCACUUUUCCUUCGAUUUUUUUCCACUUUCUAACCGAAAUCAACUCACUCAACACAUAAACAAUCGUAACCACACAAUUAAGCCUCAAGUCAGCUACCUAGAGGUCUCAUCAAGUCCGCUAGCCUAUGAUUUAAAGCGAAAUAAAUGGGUUCCUGUAGACACCAAAUUUUAAUUUAGAUUUAUUUAUCAUUAUUUUAGUUUUUGUUAUUAAUAAUCAGCUAGUUUUACUUAUUAAUCUCAUGAUUUUAUUUUAGACAUUUCUUUAGCAUUUUGGGUACAAAUUUUUUUAAUUUUAUUUUUAUCGAUUAAAUGUAUUUAUUAUUCAUUUCUUGCUUAAUUAAUCGCUUAAUUUUUAUUUUUAGACAUUUUUAAUAUUAAAACUUUUGUCGAAAAAAAUUGUCCACAAAAUAUGCUUUAAUUUAUGAAAAUUUGUUGUUUGUUUAUCUUAAAUUAAUUGAAAUUUUAGUUAAAAAUAAAAGGAAAAAUCAUCAAUCAAAUUCAAAAUUUAUUUUUAGCAUGUAUUUGACUUUUGUUGCUUUUGUUUUAUUUCAAUUUGUUGUUACGAAAAUCAUUUCCUUAUUUUUUUUGGUAAUUAAGUUAUAAAAAAAAGGGGCUGGAGGAAAGGAAGUAUGGCACGCGCGCUGCUUCCCACUUAGCUUCGUACGAGCAGCUAACCAAGCAAGAUGGCUUCUGCGUUUUUUUUUCCAGUUUUCACCACCAAUUUCCCUCAUUUUUGGCUCCGUUAGAUUGUGUUAGUACAGGCCAUCUGGCCUUCAUCUAUGAGCUUCAAUUUCAUGAGAAACAAGGGCCAUCUAAUGGCUUAGAAAUCAUCAAGGGAAAAUGCAGCAAGUCUGCACUGUAGAUGUUAGGUUUUGAACGCUUAUAUAAAGCUACGAAAUGAGAGGGUUUAAGGGAGGAGAAUCUGGUGACGGCUGAAGGUGAGAUAGAGUGACAGCUGAAAAAAAAUUUUUUUUUGGAGGGGGAAAAAGGGAGUGUGACGGCUGAGAGGAAGAUACAGAGUGAGGGAGAGCCGAGGUAGAGAGAAAAACAGAGAAGGCUAAGAAAGAAACGGGAGUGACGUCUGGAGGAGACUGAGAAAAGUGAGAGGAGGAGACCGUGAGAGUGAGCAAGAGAGCAAGGUAGAAGAAGAGAAAAUUCUGGUCGAGUGCUGUUCUUAAAGGGACGAAGGAGUCAUUGGAGCUGCUACCUAUUGCGAGGAGUAGAAAUCAUCUUCAUUUCAUUCCACUGUUAUCGCCUAUGAAAAAGAAAAGAAGGCACUGUAAAUUGUCUUUCCCUUUAAGCCUUGGUUCAGAUCUUGAAGCUUUCAAGCAUAGGGCCGAUGACUUUACUUAUGGCCAUUUCCCCGUUAGUUAUCUUUGACGUUUGAGUAUACGUGCUUCAUUGGCUGAUUGAAUUGAAGAGUUGAAGCCAUUGUUAUUUCUGAUUUUGGGUAGGGAAUCAUCGGAUCUUUUCGUGUCAAAACCUAGGAUUUUUUUGGGGGGGGGCUGAUUUCCUUCAUUUGUACUGUUUUCUGUGAUGAAGUCUAGCUUGGUAUGUGCUGGUUGUGAAAGCUCAAUGAAAACUCAAAGUUUUCAGAGGUUGCCAAAGUUUUUAGUUGAGGGAAGAAGAAAGUUCCCAGCUUUAUAUGUUUUCCUGCGGUUUGACACUUCAUGACUUGAGUCCUUGUGUUGUGGUCGAGUAGGACUAUCAAUAAGAAUUUAGAAGCUAGUUGUUGGGCUUGAUAAAUUCAGAUCAUGCGUGAAAUGCUGAUGUUUGGUUGCUGAUUUCAUGAGUCAUUCCUUUCCCUUUGCUAUGACUGGGUUUCAGAUGAUUUCCUUGCUCAUGAAUCUUGUUGUGUUGGGGAAUCAUUGAUGAUUGAAUGAUGGUUGUAUAGAAUGCUUGGGUUUUGUUUAGAACCUUUUGCGAAUUUUCUGGGUUGCUGAAAACAAAAAUUCUUAGAACUGCAGAGUUUUUUUUUUUUUUUUUUUUCUCUCUCUCGCGGGGAAACAAUUUUUUUUUUCCUGCUGCAAUAGGAUGGAAACCCUCUGCCUUGUUGCAGAAGUGCGAAUGGGUUUCUUUUUCUAUUUGAUUGCUGAAAUUCUAGCUUGCUUCAAGUGUUUGGUUUGUUUGUCGUUCGAAUGGGGUGCCAUGCGCGUGUUUGGGAACAUAGGAAUAAAGGCCAUCAGUUUUCAUUGUCUUGUUUAUUUUUUCUGGAAAAUCUGAGCAGUUGAAGUUGAGCAAGUGUUCAGAUUAUUUGGUCGCGUUUGGGUGUCCGAAAGCGUGUUGGAUCUUUGCUUGAAUGAGUUGGGACUUGUUUGAGUCAUUGUGUUUGAAUUUUUGAUUCGGCUAAAUGAAGAUAAGUUGCAGGAACUUUUUCUUCAGCAUUUGCAUGCUCUUUUGUCCGACUCCUUGUGAUUGAAUCUAAUGUUUCUAUUGCAAAGUGAGAGGAUUAAGUGGCGGUCUUCUUGCUUUAGUUCAAACUAAAUUUGAUCUUGUCCGAGAGCUGCGGAAAAUUUGCGGAUGAAAUCACAGAGGAAUCACUUUAGCAUGCCGAAAGUUUUUUUUUUUGUUGUUGCAGAAGCUUGUUCAGUCGUAGCUUUGCAUGCAUUUUUUACAUGGAAAAUGUUCAAGAAAUUAUACUUUAACCCCUUAAUUGAUGUCUAACGCUACUAUGGCCUAUAAAAUUGGAAAAACUAAUCGAUUUGGUCCCUCUAACAUGUUACUUCUUUCUUUAACAUGACUUAAUGUAGACUUUGGAUUGAUUUUAGUGAAUUUGUGUGAUGUUUUAAAGGUUUAAUAUUUGUAAAUAGGUUUAUGAUUUUCGAUUUGGUUUUUUAGUAGAAUUUUGGAUAAUUUGUUGUUAAAUAUAAUGAAUAGGUUUCAACUCCUCUUUUGUAAAGUCUAGCAUUUUGUGAGAACCCGUAACUUUUCUUAUUUUCAAGGUUUUAUUUUAUUUAAUCGCACGCUUUUCGAUAUUUUCUUUAUUAGAAAAAUUUUCUAACUCAUUUUUAUGGGUAAAUAUGGUUUUUAAAUUAUUUUUUCCAGUAUAAGUUAGUUCAUGAGAUUUUAGGAGUGUAUACCGGGCGUGGGACCCGCUAGUGCUGAAAGUUCGGUAAAAUUGGGUCAGUAUGGUUAAGUUUUGUAUACCGGGAUUAAUUUAGCAGGUGUUAAGAGAUAACUAGAGGUUACUAAAUGAAUUAGUGUGGGAAAGACAAAAGGAUAGCCAUGCAUUAAUGAGAGUGACAAGUGUCACUUGGUGAUUAACUCUUGGACUUUGACCACUAUUCACCACUUUAUCAAUUAAUACAAAAAUUGACCAAAAUCAUCUUCAUUUGCAAGCUUCUUUGGCCGGCCAUCUUCAAGAGAAAAGAAGAGAAAACUCCCAACUUUCUUGCCUCCAAUCUUGUUCAAUCUCAUAGUUCAACCGAUUAAACUUGGAUUUCCUCCAUAAAAACCCUUAGUUUAGUGGUAGUAAGGUUGGUUGUGAAGUGGUUUGGAAGAUCCAGGUGCUAAGCUGUCUCCUUUCUUGACUUGGUAAGGUGAGUAGCUAAGGAACUUCUCUUUCCUUCUCAAUAAUGUUUAAUUAGUGGCUUGUGUGAGUUAAAGAGAUGGUUUUAGGUGUUAUUUCAUGACUCUUGAUAGAAAUUGGUGAAUUUUUAUAUUUAUUCAUGAUUUUUCUGUUUUUAUAUGUUUAAUAUUGUUGGGCCAUGGAUGAUGGCUUGGAAUGGUUUAGAAUGAAGCAAUAGAGCGUAAAUUGUGGUUAUUUGCGAAAAAUUUCCGCAUUGUACGGAAAAUUUCAGAUUUAGGGUUUGGAUUUGGGGCUUUUCUAGGGUUUUUAUAUAACACUUGGAUUGGCUUUGACGAAAGGGUUUUGUGACUCUAAUAAGGUGUAUUGAAGGGUUUAUGACUUGUAGUGGUAUUGGUGAUUGUGUUUGGAACGUAUGGAGGAAUGUUGUAGGUUGGAAACUUAGAAUUUUAAGGGGAAAUGCUGUCCAAAUUGGGGGUUCUUGUGUUUUAUUGGACUUGGGUUGUUUUAGGGGUUAUUAGAGACUUUAGGGUUAUCUAAACCCUUAGCGCCGAGUGUGUCUUAGUUUAAUUGCAAGUUCCUUUGGUUUAUCUUAGUGACUUGUAGUUUCGAUUUAUGACUCGUAAUUGAGUCUCAUUGUGUUUGUUUGAAUGUUUUAGGGCGUGAAGGUGGUUCGAGACGCUUGUUGGGUGGACAAUUGUAAAAGUCUCUUUGCUUGCUUGGUGAGUGUACUACUCACUUGAUUGUUACUGUGUGGCUUUGUUACACUUGAAAUCGAUGACUUGAUUGCUUAUUUGCAUUGUUGAUAUUGAUUGAGGUGAGGGUGUACUUGAUCACUCUCACCCUUUAUAUCCUAUAUGACUGUUUACCGGGUUACUUGAAUGAUAUAUGAAUAUACUUGAAUUGGUGUCGUUUGGACGAGUAUCCAACGACCAUCACUGUUAUCACUGAGCUCAACCCCAUUGGUGGUCAAUUGAAUCGAGCUGGCAAGGGCUUGGUCGUGAAAAUUGACGAGCCAUAGGGACUGUUGUUUGGAAUCUUGAAGUAUGAGACUCUUGAUUCCGGUAUACUCGAAUAUUACCAAUUCUAAACUGUUUGGAGUUUGGGCCCGGUUGGGGUGUGUGAGGUGGAAGGAAUGGAAGUAAAGCGGAGUCUACGUUUGGUUACUCUUGUACAUUGACGGAGGGUCAAUGAGAUACGAUCAAGUAUGGCAAGCGAGGAAAGGGGUUCUUGAGAGCUGUCCGUAUCCUUUUUACCACUUGUAUUGAUAUGUGACUUUACUUAGUUUCUUUAUUGAAUGAAUUUGGAAUGAAUGAAUUUAUGCUUAAUUGAACAUCCUUGCUUGACUGAUAGUACCUCAUUGGGCGAAAGCUCACCCUAUUACUUUCGUUUUCCUUACAGGGGUUGAACACUUUUGAAAAACUAGAAUAUUUGGUUGUUGAGUUGAGCUUGAUUAGAUACAUUUUGAAUAGCUCCUCAAUGAACAAAACCCUAAGUGUAUUUAAAUCCAACUUUUCUUUUGAGUUGUAAAUUUGGAAGCAUACAUGUAUAAACGUGUUUGGUAAUGUUGGUAUGUUAUUUUGGUUGGUAAUUAUGUGAUUUCUUGGUGUAUAUGGUUUAUUGAUGUUUGGAUGGAUUUCGGACAGAUUCGGAUUUCAAACGGCGAAAAGAAAAAUUUUGGCGGGAAAGAACAUGGUCGAAUUCGGCCAGGAAUCCGGCCAGAAUCUGGCCGGAUUGACGGCCGGAUUGCCUUAGGAAAAAAAUGGAAUCUGGCAUUGCUCUCUGGCCAGUAUCUGGCCAGGAAUCCGGCCAGAUUCCGGCCGGAUUCUGACGUGUCCGGCAUUGUUCAUGUCGGCUCCGAUUUUCAUUUUUUUUAUUUUGUGAUUUUGACUUGUUUUAGCGCCCUUGUAUGUUCCGGAACGUUUUAGAUCGCAUGUACCUGUCUCGUUAGUUCUGGCGAGAGUUGGGUAGGCAGUCCGCUAACCCCUUUGGUUCGCCUUAGGGGAAGGUGGGGAUGUCACACAUUUGAUUUUGGUAGAUUCCAUUUUGAGUCACCAAAUUUUAGUACCUCAUCUUAGAACUUCUUAAUUAUUUUAAUUAGGUUCUUUUCCGCUCUAAUUUCUUGCAUGUAGAUGAUUUCUUUUAUAAAAUUCGUUAAGUGAUUUCAUUUUGUGUUUAAUUUUCAUUUGUGUGUUUAAUUUUUGUUUCAUGUAAUUAAUUGUUAAUUAAAAUGAUACCUUGACUCUUUUUUAUUAUUUUGGAGGGUAAAUAAGUAACUCGUCUCAUUAGAACAUCAACUCAAGGGAGGUACACUCUACCCCUUAUUUUCUAAUUUAUUUGACCUUAUGUGCCCCUAUGUGACUUUAUUGCAUACCUUUUGAAUGUGACCAUUUUAUUUAUUUAUUUAUUUGUUUGUUUUAAUUUUGUAUAUUUAUUUAAAUUUAAUUUGUAAUUAUUUGGGAAGGCAAUUAAAUGCCACAAUUGUAAUAGUUAGGUAUUUAUUUUAAUUAUUUAUUUUAUUUCCCCUUUUAGAUUGUAGUAGGGCCCCUUAAUGUAAUAGUUAGGGCUUGUUUGCUUUAGUUGCUUGGUGUGAUUUACAUGCUUACGUGCUAUGUGUUACCGCUUUCUUAGGGCCUUGCAUCUAGAUAUCAUGAUUAUGUGUUAUGGAUUUAUGUGAUAUUAUGUGGUUAUAUGUUUUUAUUAAGUUUUACAUGAUUAAUUUAGUUAUAAUUAAUGUAACGUGUUAUCACAUUAGUCCAACGCUAGUUGUGGUUCCCUUGUCCGAUUUCUCAGUAGUCCAAUGCUAGUGAGAAAGUAGAAAUAAGGGUUAGUCCAACGUUAGACCCUUAGGAGCCCUUUGAGCGUUAGAUCAUGAUUGUGUGAUAAAAACACUUCAUCUUAUGCAUAUCCUAGGGUCUUUUAUCAUUUUUUUGCAUGUUCCCUUUUUUUUUUUUACUUAUAUUCCCGAUCCAAUAAUUCCCCCUUUAUAUAUAAAUACCCCCUACACACACACACACACACACACACACACACACAUAUAUAUGUAUUUUUUCCACAUUUCCCUUAUAUAUCCCCUCUUAUAUCCAUAUCCCAUAUUUUCAUAUUUUCCUUUAUAUAAUCCUAUGUAUGAGACAUGACACUAGAUUUGCAUUUCAUAUAGGGAAAAUUAGAGAUAGGUUAGUACAUUUGCUUGAUUAGAUUAGGAAAACAACCUCUUGAGUAUGGGAUAUGGACGAGUUUGGCUUUCUAGCUUUAUCACGUUCAUAUUCCCUCUGUUAAAGGGAAAAUUGAGUCACGAACAUUAGUCCCCCGUAC